rnacentral:rRNA from 1 species
GGGAGUGGCUCAAUUCUUUGGAAGAAAAAUGAAAAGUAUCAGCACAACCGAUCCCGUCUCAUCUCGGAAGCUAAGCAGGGUCGGGAGCCUGGUUAGUACUUGGAUGGGAGACCUCCCAGGAAUACCAGGUGCUGUAAGCG